GCGGCGUGCCUAAUACAUGCAAGUCGAGCGAAUUGAUGGGAGCUUGCUCCCUGAUAUUAGCGGCGGACGGGUGAGUAACACGUGGGUAACCUGCCUGUAAGAUUGGGAUAACUCCGGGAAACCGGAGCUAAUACCGGAUAACAUGUUGAACCGCAUGGUUCAACAUUGAAAGAUGGCUUUUGCUAUCACUUACAGAUGGACCCGCGGCGCAUUAGCUAGUUGGUGAGGUAACGGCUCACCAAGGCGACGAUGCGUAGCCGACCUGAGAGGGUGAUCGGCCACACUGGGACUGAGACACGGCCCAGACUCCUACGGGAGGCAGCAGUAGGGAAUCUUCCGCAAUGGACGAAAGUCUGACGGAGCAACGCCGCGUGAACGAUGAAGGCCUUCGGGUCGUAAAGUUCUGUUGUUAGGGAAGAACAAGUACCAGAGUAACUGCUGGUACCUUGACGGUACCUAACCAGAAAGCCACGGCUAACUACGUGCCAGCAGCCGCGGUAAUACGUAGGUGGCAAGCGUUGUCCGGAAUUAUUGGGCGUAAAGCGCGCGCAGGUGGUUUCUUAAGUCUGAUGUGAAAGCCCACGGCUCAACCGUGGAGGGUCAUUUGGAAACUGGGGAACUUGAUU
rnacentral:rRNA from 1 species